AAAAAAUAUAUAUAUAUAUAUACACACACACACACACACACACACACACACGGAUCAGGAUUCAAAUGUACUAACGUGAUACAAGGCCUAUCACUUUUUAACUUCACCAUACUGUAUUUUCAGUCAUUUUAACAUACACAGCUAAUGAAUAUCUAUCUUAUUUGCACACUUAGGAUAAUAACAGAAAUUAAAAGUUGAACAUAUGCAGUUUAUUUUGUCCAAAAUAUAAUUGUUGUUUCUCUGUGUUGGGAAAGGCUGUCUCCUGCAUGCAGUCCUGUGUGUGGACUCCAUUGGACCACAGAAGAAUGAGCCUUCAACCCGAACACUUCCUUACCAACAGAUAAAGAGCCUUCACAGCAUGUGCCGGGUUUAUCGCCUGGUAUGGGAAUAUCUUUUCCUGUUUCAGACUCUGUAUACUCCUUUAAUCUGCUUAAGCUCAUAUGUCAAUGGCCCUCAGACACACCUCCAGCUUUCUGUAUUUCAGACUGCAUGGGAAGGGGGAGGGGUCCCUCUAUUGCAGCACAAAGUGGGGUGGGUGCAGCUAACUCCCCACAUAGCAUAGCUGUGAAGUGGAUCCAGUGGCCCUGAGGGACCAACACAAUGUAAGGAGCUGGACCUUGUGCACUCUUGCUCCUCUCUUGCUGUGAGUAAACACUGUAUGGCUUGAGUCCAGCAUGUGUGUUUUCUGUAUCACAACCUCGGGUCGUGCAUUGGUCUCUUCCCUGGAAGGCACUUUUUAUCUGUCUUCUAACCUUGGCAGCACAGCCCGGCCAUCCAGUGAAUGAUGAAAUACUUAGCACUUGUUGUCAUAGUAGGUAAUUUUGUGAAUUCAAAUAAAUAAUCAGCUAAUAAAAUUGGCUUCAAAAUACUCUUGGAUUGGAGAAUUGAAAAGGCACAUUUCACUCAAGGCAUCUUUGCCCCUGGGCUGUAACUUAAAAUACCUCUUUGAUUUCAGGCCUCCUUAUCUAACUUCUGCUCAGUCACCUCUGCAUUCUACCUGUAGAAAAGUGACUCAACAUCAUUCCAGAAGUCCGGAAUUCUACAAGAAUCAUCUGAUGUCAAAAAUAACUGAGAACAAUCUGAACAGGAGAGGAAGAUAGAAGUAACUAUGAAAGAUUACAGAGAUUAGAAAGAGCCACUGUACUUGAAAGAAAGCAAUCAUCUCUGAGAGCUCUUCAAUUACAACGAAAUUGUCAGCUAGAUAGAAGGAAUUAAUACUAGUGUUUGAUACCACCUUACGAUGACUAUAGGAGAACAGUAUUCUAUUUAGCCAGCCACAACAUUUGAACAUCAUCUUUCGAAUCAAAGGCAAAAAGCAAAGAAAACCUCCAGCCAUGGCCCUGUGAAAAAUCAUCCAGAUGGAAAAUUUCUGUGAAAGAAACGUGCAACUACCACUCCAAUGUCUUACUUUAAGAAAAAUAAACAGGUUUUGAAUAUAAAAAUAUUGAUGAGCCCAGAUUAUAAUUGACUAUGAUAGCCAAAAUUAAGGUAACAUCAGGUUACUUUUUGUUUAUUUUAUUUUAUUUUAUUUUAUUUUAUUUUAUUUUAUUUUAUUUUAUUUUAAGUUCUGGGGUACA
rnacentral:lncRNA from 1 species